UAGGGAGGAAGGUAGUGUAGUUAACACCUGCAUUAUUUGACGUUACCUACAGAAGAAGCACCGGCUAACUCCGUGCCAGCAGCCGCGGUAAUACGGAGGGGUGCGAGCGUUAAUCGGAAUUACUGGGCGUAAAGCGCAUGCAGGCGGCUUGUUAAGUCAGAUGUGAAAGCCCGGGGCGUUAACCUCGGAAUUGCAUUUGAAACUGGCAGGCUAGAGUCUUGUAGAGGGGGGUAGGAAUUUCAGGUGUAGCGGUGAAAAUGCGUAGAGAUCUGAAGGAAUACCAGUGGCGAAGGCGGCCCCCUGGACAAAGACUGACGCUCAGACUGCGAAAGCGUGGGGAGCCAAACAGGAUUAGACUACCCCUGGUAG
rnacentral:rRNA from 1 species